rnacentral:rRNA from 1 species
AUUGAACGCUGGCGGCAUGCCUUACACAUGCAAGUCGAACGGCAGCACGGGAGCAAUCCUGGUGGCGAGUGGCGAACGGGUGAGUAAAGCAUCGGAACGUGCCCAGUCGUGUGGGAUAACGUAGCGAAAGCUACGCUAAUACCGCAUACGAUCUGUGGAUGAAAGAGGGGGACCGGAAGGCCUCGCGCGAUUGGAGCGGCCGAUGUAAGUUUAGGUAGUUGGUGAGGUAAAGGAUCACCAAGCCGACGAGCUGUAGCUGGUCUGAGAGGACGACCAGCCACACUGGGACUGAGACACGGCCCAGACUCCUACGGGAGGCAGCAGUGGGGAAUUUUGGACAAUGGGCGCAAGCCUGAUCCAGCAAUGCCGCGUGCAGGAUGAAGGCCUUCGGGUUGUAAACUGCUUUUGUACGGAGCGAAAAGGCUUCCACUAAUACUGGGGGCUCAUGACGGUACCGUAAGAAUAAGCACCGGCUAACUACGUGCCAGCAGCCGCCGUAAUAC